rnacentral:lncRNA from 1 species
AGGCUGAGGCAGGAGAAUGGCUUGAACCCAGGAGGCGGAGGUUGCAGUGAGCCAAGAUCGUACCACCGCACUCCAGCCUUGGUGACAGAGCAAGACUCCAUCUCAACAACAACAACAAAAAUGGUUGAAAUAAAACUUCUAUGUGUUGAACGAUUCCUCUUUUAGGCAUAGAGUUUCAGUUUUACAAGAUGAAAAUAUUCUGGAGAUCUGUUUCAAAACACCGUGAAUACAUUUAACACUGCUAUACUGUACACUUACAAUGGCUAAGAUGGUAAAUUGUAUGUUAUGUUUUUACUACAAUUUUUUUUUUUUUUUUUCUGAGACAGAGUCUCACUCUUGUUGCCCAGGCUGGAGUGCAAUGGUGCGGUCUCGGCUCACCGCAACCUCCGCCUCCUGGGCUCAAGCCAUUCUCCUGCCUCAGCCUCCAGAGCAGCUGGGAUUACAGGCAUGCGCCACCACGCCUGGCUAAUUUUAUAUUUUUAGAAGAGACGGGGUUUCUCCAUGUUGGUCAGGCUGGUCUCGAACUCUGGACCUCAGGUGAUCCACCCGCCUUGGCCUCCCAAAGUGCUGGGAUCACAGGCGUGAGCCACCACGCCUGGCCUACAAUUUUUUUUUAACUUUUUUUUCUGAGAUGGAGUCUCGCUCUUGUCACCCAAGUUGGAGUGCAGUAGUGUGAUCUCGGCUCACUGCAACCUCUGCCUCCCUGGUUCAAGGGAUUCUCCUGCCUCAACCUCCCAAGUGUGGGAGAUCAGUCAGAGUAGCAGAAGAAAUUAUAGGAAUAGGAAGCAGCAAACCUUCUUGGAAGGCCAGGGAGGUUGGCAUAGCUUCAGAUAGUUUGGCUGAAAGCAGCCAGAUUCUCUUUUCAGGAGCCAAACAGCUUAGGGCGCAGAUACAAAGGAAUGCGGAGUAUUUUAUCUAAAUAGCUUGCUUAGUCAUAUGGUCCUAAAAUCAACCUUUGAUCAUUCUCGGGCAAGAUGGCCCUCUCCAGGGAGGUGGCGGGGGGCGGUGACCAGGUUAAUUACCCACAGGUGUGUUGACUCAAAGCCUUUGUUAAUUAAAUCUGUGCUAAAUAAAUGCAAGCGUUGCCAGCUUAGAGGGGCUGCACUCUCUUUGGCUCCUAGUGCCGGCAGCCCCCUGGCCUGCUCUUUCACUGAA